rnacentral:rRNA from 1 species
GAUGAACGCUGGCGGCGUGCUUAACACAUGCAAGUCGAACGGUGAACGAGGGAGCUUGCUCCCUCCGGAUCAGUGGCGAACGGGUGAGUAACACGUGAGCAAUCUGCCCUGGACUCUGGGAUAAGCGUUGGAAACGACGUCUAAUACCGGAUACGAGGCGUGGGGGCAUCCCCAACGCCUGGAAAGAACUUCGGUCCAGGAUGAGCUCGCGGCCUAUCAGGUAGUUGGUGAGGUAAUGGCUCACCAAGCCUACGACGGGUAGCCGGCCUGGGAGGAUGACCGGCCACACUGGGACUGAGACACGGCCCAGACUCCUACGGGAGGCAGCAGUGGGGAAUAUUGCACAAUGGGCGAAAGCCUGAUGCAGCAACGCCGCGUGAGGGACGACGGCCUUCGGGUUGUAAACCUCUUUUAGCAGGGAAGAAGCGAAAGUGACGGUACCUGCAGAAAAAGCACCGGCUAACUACGUGCCAGCCGCCGCCGUAACAC